UGGAAUUGUUAGUUAGAUUACUUGUUGGUUAUUACUGCAUUGUCGGAACUAGAAGCACAAGCAUUUCGCUACACUUGCAUUAACAUCUGCUAACCAUGUGUAUGUGACAAAUAAAAUUUGAUUUAGAUUUUUUUAAAGUUUUUUUUUUAUAUGGUAUAUGGUAGUGGUAUAUGGUAGUGGUAUAUGGUAUAUGGUAGUGGUGUAUAGUAGUGGUAUAUGGUAUGUGGUAGUGGUAUAUGGUAGUGGUAUAUGGUAGUGGUAUAUGGUAUAUGGUAGUGGUAUAUAGUACAUGGUAGUGGAGUAUAGUAGUGGUAUGUGGUAGUGGUGUAUGGUAGUGGUAUAUGGUAGUGGUGCAUAGUAGUGGUAUAUGGUAGUGGUGUAUCGUAGUGGUAUAUGCUAGUGGUAUAUGGUAUAUGGUUGUGGUGUAUAGUAGUGGUAUGUGGUAGUGGUAUAUGGUAGUGGUAUAUGGUAUAUGGUAGUCGAGUAUAGUAGUGGUAUAUUGUAGUGGUGUAUGGUAGUGGUAUAGUGUAGUGGUGUAUAGUAGUGGUAUAUGGUAGUGGUAUAUGGUAGUGGUGUAUGGUAGUUGUAUAUGGUAGUGGUGUAUGGUUGUGGUAUAUAGUAGUGGUAUAUGGUAAUAUGGUAGUGGUAUAUGGCAGUGUUAUUAUGUAGUGGUAUAGGUUAGUGGUGUAUUGUAGUGGUGUAUUGUUGUAUGGUCAGGGUAUGUGGUAGUGGUAUAUGUUAGUGGUAUGUUGUAGUGGUAUAUGUUAGUGGUAUAUUGUAGUGGUCUAUGGUGGUGGUAUAUUGUAGUUGUUUAUGGUGGUGGUAUAUGGUGGUGGUAUAUGGUAGUGGUAUAUGGUAGUGGUAUAUGGUAGUGGUAUAUUGUAGUUGUUUAUGGUGGUGGUAUAUGGUAGUGGUAUAUGGUAGUGGUAUAUUGUAGUGGUAUAUGUUAGCCGGUGGUAUAUGGCAGUGGUAUAUUUUAGUGGAACACUAGGUGGGCCAUGGACAGGCUGUAAAGAACACUAGGUGGGCCAUGGACAGGCUGUAAAGAACACUAGGUGGGCCAUGGACAGGCUGUAAAGAACACUAGGUGGGCCAUGGACAGGCUGUAAAGAACACUAGGUGGGCCAUGGAGAGGCUGUAAAGAACACUAGUGGGCCAUGGACAGGUUGUUAAAAAUACGGUGACUGAAGUUCCUCUGAUAUGAUAAACAUACACACAUGUAAACACAUAUACACACAUCAGGUUUAGGCUCAGAGUCAAGGUUGAUUGGAUUGCAAACUUUAUCGACCUGAAGGACACACACACACAGAC
ensembl:lncRNA